rnacentral:rRNA from 1 species
CAGUAGCCGCGGUAAUACGAAGGGGGCUAGCGUUGUUCGGAUUUACUGGGCGUAAAGCGCACGUAGGCGGAUCGAUCAGUCAGGGGUGAAAUCCCAGAGCUCAACUCUGGAACUGCCUUCGAUACUGUCGAUCUGGAGUAUGGAAGAGGUGAGUGGAAUUCCGAGUGUAGAGGUGAAAUUCGUAGAUAUUCGGAGGAACACCAGUGGCGAAGGCGGCUCACUGGUCCAUUACUGACGCUGAGGUGCGAAAGCGUGGGGAGCAAACAGGAUUAGAUACCCCCGUAGUCCCUGUCUCUUAUAC